UACGUAGGUGGCAAGCGUUGUCCGGAUUUACUGGGCGUAAAGCGAGCGCAGGCGGACCGUUAAGUAGGAAGUGAAAGGUCGGAGCUCAACUCCAACAUUGCUUUCUAUACUGGCGGUCUUGAGUCACGGAGGGGAAAGCGGAACGACACGUGUAGCGGUGAAAUGCGUUGAUAUGUGUCGGAACACCAAUGGCGAAGGCAGCUUUCUGGACGAUGACUGACGCUCAGGCUCGAAAGCCAAGGUAGCGAACAGG
rnacentral:rRNA from 1 species